rnacentral:snoRNA from 1 species
ACGACUUUACUUGAACAGGAUCUGUUCUAUAGGCUCGUACCGUUGCAUCCUUUACCAAUAAGGAGGCAAGCACUCAAGUCUGGUUGAUGCGACAUGACCUCUGGGCCAGAGCGUGAUUAACGGCCCAGGAUCACUUCCCAUGCGGGCUCAUCCGACGGCUGUAGAGGAUCGUUCCNNNNNNNNNNCAGAGGUCAGAGGUUGUCUGACAGACA